AGUGAACGCUGGCGGUAGGCCUAACACAUGCAAGUCGAACGGCAGCACAGUAAGAGCUUGCUCUUACGGGUGGCGGGUGGCGGACGGGUGAGGAAUACAUCGGAAUCUACUUUUUCGUGGGGGAUAACGUAGGGAAACUUACGCUAAUACCGCAUACGACCUACGGGUGAAAGCAGGGGAUCUUCGGACCUUGCGCGAUUGAAUGAGACGAUGUCGGAUUAGCUAGUUGGCGGGGUAAAGGCCCACCAAGGCGACGAUCCGUAGCUGGUCUGAGAGGAUGAUCAGCCACACUGGAACUGAGACACGGUCCAGACUCCUACGGGAGGCAGCAGUGGGGAAUAUUGGACAAUGGGCGCAAGCCUGAUCCAGCCAUACCGCGUGGGUGAAGAAGGCCUUCGGGUUGUAAAGCCCUUUUGUUGGGAAAGAAAAGCAGCAGGUUAAUACCCCGCUGUUCUGACGGUACCCAAAGAAUAAGCACCGGCUAACUUCGUG
rnacentral:rRNA from 1 species